rnacentral:snRNA from 1 species
ACACUUACCUGGCCAGGGAGAUACUGUGAUCGCAAAGGUGGCUCUCUCAGAGUGCCAUUCAUUGCACUGCGGGUGUGCUGGCCCCUGCGAUUUCCCCCCAGGCAGGAAACUUGACUGCAGAAUUCGUGGCGGUGGGGGGGGGGGGUGUCCGCGCUUUCCCCUG